GACGAACGCUGGCGGCGUGCUUAACACAUGCAAGUCGAACGGUGAAGCGCCUUCCUUUUUGGUGGGUGUGGAUGAGUGGCGAACGGGUGAGUAACACGUGAGUAACCUGCCCCCUUCUUCUGGAUAACCGCAUGAAAGUGUGGCUAAUACGGGAUAUUCUGGGUCUGUCGCAUGAUGGGUCUGGGAAAGAUAUUGUUUCGGUGGGGGAUGGGCUCGCGGCCUAUCAGCUUGUUGGUGGGGUGAUGGCCUACCAAGGCGGUGACGGGUAGCCGGCCUGAGAGGGUGGACGGUCACACUGGGACUGAGACACGGCCCAGACUCCUACGGGAGGCAGCAGGGGGGAAUAUUGCACAAUGGGCGCAAGCCUGAUGCAGCGACGCCGCGUGAGGGAUGGAGGCCUUCGGGCUGUGAACCUCUUUCGCCAGUGAAGCAGGCCUGCCUCGUUUGUGGGUGGGUUGACGGUAGCUGGAGAAGAAGCGCCGGCUAACUACGUG
rnacentral:rRNA from 1 species